rnacentral:rRNA from 1 species
CCUACGGGGGGCUGCAGUGGGGAAUAUUGGACAAUGGGGGGAACCCUGAUCCAGCCAUGCCGCGUGUGUGAAGAAGGCCCUCGGGUUGUAAAGCACUUUCAGUGAGGAAGAACGCCUGGUGGUUAAUACCCAUCAGGAAAGACAUCACUCACAGAAGAAGCACCGGCUAACUCCGUGCCAGCAGCCGCGGUAAUACGGAGGGUGCGAGCGUUAAUCGGAAUUACUGGGCGUAAAGCGCGCGUAGGUGGCUUGAUAAGCCGGUUGUGAAAGCCCCGGGCUCAACCUGGGAACGGCAUCCGGAACUGUCAAGCUAGAGUGCAGGAGAGGAAGGUAGAAUUCCCGGUGUAGCGGUGAAAUGCGUAGAGAUCGGGAGGAAUACCAGUGGCGAAGGCGGCCUUCUGGACUGACACUGACACUGAGGUGCGAAAGCGUGGGUAGCAAACAGGAUUAGAUACCCCUCUAGUC